UACGGAGGAUGCGAGCGUUAUCCGGAUUUAUUGGGUUUAAAGGGUGCGUAGGCGGAAUGGUAAGUCAGUGGUGAAAUCCUGCAGCUCAACUGUAGUUGUGCCAUUGAUACUGUCAUUCUUGAGUACAGAUGAGGUAGGCGGAAUGAGUAGUGUAGCGGUGAAAUUGCAUAGAUAUUACUCAGAACACCAAUUGCGAAGGCAGCUUACUAAACUGACACUGACGCUGAAGCACGAAAGCGUGGGGUAUCAAACAGGAUUAGAUACCCCCGUAGU
rnacentral:rRNA from 1 species